GCAUAUCAAUAAGCGGAGGAAAAGAAACCAACAGGGAUUGCCCUAGUAACGGCGAGUGAAGCGGCAUCAGCUCAAAUUUGAAAUCUGGCUCUUUCAGGGUCCGAGUUGUAAUUUGCAGAGGGCGCUUUGGUGUUGGCAGCGGUCCAAGUUCCUUGGAACAGGACGUCACAGAGGGUGAGAAUCCCGUACGUGGUCGCUGGCCUUCGCCGUGUAAAGCCCCUUCGACGAGUCGAGUUGUUUGGGAAUGCAGCUCUAAAUGGGAGGUAAAUUUCUUCUAAAGCUAAAUACUGGCCAGAGACCGAUAGCGCACAAGUAGAGUGAUCGAAAGAUGAAAAGCACUUUGGAAAGAGAGUCAAAUAGCACGUGAAAUUGUUGAAAGGGAAGCGCUUGCAGCCAGACUUGCCUGUAGUUGCUCAUCUAGGCUCUUUGCCUAGUGCACUCUUCUGCGGGCAGGCCAGCAUCAGUCUAGGCGGUUGGAUAAAGGCCUCUGUCAUGUACCUCCUCUCGGGGAGGCCUUAUAGGGGAGGCGUAAUGCAACCAGCCUGGACUGAGGUCCGCGCAUCUGCUAGGAUGCUGGCGUAAUGGCUGUAAGCGGCCCGUCUUGAAACACGGACCAAGGAGUCUAACAUCUAUGCGAGUGUUUGGGUGUCAAGCCCGAGCGCGUAAUGAAAGUGAACGGAGGUGGGAUCCCUUUAGGGUGCACCAUCGACCGAUCCUGAUGUCUUCGGAUGGAUUUGAGUAAGAGCAUGGCUGUUGGGACCCGAAAGAUGGUGAACUAUGCUUGAAUAGGGUGAAGCCAGAGGAAACUCUGGUGGAGGCUCGCAGCGGUUCUGACGUGCAAAUCGAUCGUCAAAUUUGGGGCAUAGGGGCGAAAGACUAAUCGAACUAUCUAGUAGCUGGUUCCUGCCGA
rnacentral:rRNA from 1 species